rnacentral:rRNA from 1 species
GAUGAACGCUAGCGGCAGGCCUAAUACAUGCAAGUCGAGGGGUAGAAGAGGCUUGCUUCUUUGAGACCGGCGCACGGGUGCGUAACGCGUAUGCAACCUACCUUCAUCUGGGGGAUAGCCCGGAGAAAUCCGGAUUAAUACCGCAUAAAAGCACAGGAUGGCAUUAUCCAAUGAUCAAACAUUUAUGGGAUGGAGAUGGGCAUGCGUGUCAUUAGCUAGUUGGCGGGGUAACGGCCCACCAAGGCGACGAUGACUAGGGGAUCUGAGAGGAUGGCCCCCCACACUGGUACUGAGACACGGACCAGACUCCUACGGGAGGCAGCAGUAAGGAAUAUUGGUCAAUGGAGGCAACUCUGAACCAGCCAUGCCGCGUGCAGGAAGACUGUCCUAUGGGUUGUAAACUGCUUUUAUUCGGGAAUAAACCUUAUUACGUGUAAUAAGCUGAAUGUACCGAAGGAAUAAGGAUCGGCUAACUCCGUGCCAGCCGCCGCAGUAA